rnacentral:rRNA from 1 species
UUGAACGCUGGCGGCAUGCCUUACCCCUGCCAGUCGCACGGCAGCACGGGUGCUUGCACCUGGUGGCGAGUGGCGAACGGGUGAGUAAUACAUCGGAACAUGUCCUGUAGUGGGGGAUAGCCCGGCGAAAGCCGGAUUAAUACCGCAUACGAUCUACGGAUGAAAGCGGGGGACCUUCGGGCCUCGCGCUAUAGGGUUGGCCGAUGGCUGAUUAGCUAGUUGGUGGGGUAAGGGCCUACCAAGGCGACGAUCAGUAGCUGGUCUGAGAGGACGACCAGCCACACUGGGACUGAGACACGGCCCAGACUCCUACGGGAGGCAGCAGUGGGGAAUUUUGGACAAUGGGCGAAAGCCUGAUCCAGCAAUGCCGCGUGUGUGAAGAAGGCCUUCGGGUUGUAAAGCACUUUUGUCCGGAAAGAAAUCCUUGGCCCUAAUACGGUCGGGGGAUGACGGUACCGGAAGAAUAAGCACCGGCUAACUACGUG